UACGGGGGGAGCAAGCGUUGUUCGGAUUUACUGGGCGUAAAGGGCGCGUAGGCGGCCACCGCAAGUCGACUGUGAAAUCUCCGGGCUUAACCCGGAGCGGUCAAGUGAUACUGUCGUGCUAGAGUGCGGAAGGGGCUACUGGAAUUCUCGGUGUAGCGGUGAAAUGCGUAGAUAUCGGGAGGAACACCAGUGGCGAAGGCGACUUCCUGGCCUGUUCUUGACGCUGAGGCGCGAAAGCUAGGGGAGCAAACGGG
rnacentral:rRNA from 1 species